rnacentral:sRNA from 19 species
CGAGGGUGUGCGGCAUUCUGGGCCCAAAAGGCUUGGAACCGCACGGAAGAGCACAUCCUCAGUCAACGCGACACUAGCUCAAUUGGCAGAGCGGUCAUUUGCAGAAUGGCAGGUUGCUGGUUCAAGUCCAGCGUGGCUACCACCACACAAGCGAAAGCCUCUUCCCGACGACAUCGCGACAGUGUCCUAAUCCCUGACGUCGCACGACGAAUCAGGGCGACAUUCGAGCCCGCAAGGCCCGAGUGACGUUCACGCGCCAGUAGCGGUAGCGGAGAGACCGGCCAGUCUCUCUUCGACGUGACAGCGGUGGAGAAGCGGUCGUCGAUACGCGUGGUGCCACGACACGGCACCGGACAUGGUGAAUACCGUCGAGAGGCGGUGGAUACGCCGCAAACCCCUUGCAGGGAAUACAGCGCGCAAAGGUCACCGGCAGUGGGGAAGUAGUCUCAUUCC